GUCGCCCCGCAGCACGCCCACGCGCCGCACCGCGCAGCGCUCUGCCAGCCCCGGAGGGGGGAGACUAGGAGGAGCAGGAGGAAGCGGGGGCGGCAAGUCAAGAUCGGAUGUAUCUGCCGGGGCGGAGGGAGGUGCGGUGCUGCACAACCCGCUGCUCUAGGGUCUGACUGCUGCGUAGCUACCGAGGCAGAGAAGGCACGGUCUGGGGAGUGUCUGACCGUCGCCUCGGUGACCAUCCUGUUCUCCUGGCCGAGGAGGUUAUAGCCAGUGGGUGGUGAGAGAAGGGGUGGCUCUGGGAUUUGUGUUCUUUUUAUCUCUUCAGUAGGAGAGAGACUUCUGGGACCUGAAGGCCUCCUGGGGACUGAACGGAGCAGACGAAGGAAAGCUUUUCUAAAUAUGCCACAACCUCAUACUUCCAGGAACCCCUCGCUGGAUUGAUUCCCAAGCCUCACGAAGAAACCAGCGUGCUUGUAAAGGUAACCCGAUCAGUAAAACAUUGUCUGAAUGCCUCAGCA